rnacentral:lncRNA from 1 species
UGAGCAUUAAGAAAUUGGAGAGCUGGGAUUCAGUCCCAGGCGACCUGAUUCCAAACCCCUCACCUGCUCCCUGACAGGUUCAGAGAGGGCCCAGCCAGUCCUGGAGACCUUCAGCAGCAGCAAGCCUGGUGAGUUUGGAGAAAAACCCGAGAAGGCCCGUGUAGCCUGAUUAAAAAAAAAAAAAAGGCAAGCAAAAACUUGGAGCUAGCUGGCCCUUUCAGGAACAUCCGUAACUCAACAGCAGGUAAGGCCAGAUAGGUGAGCAAGAGGGAGAAGAGGGAGGCUGGCGGGAAGUGGUCAGAGCACUGGACGGCCUGGUGGGUAGGGCAGCGCCUGGCAGACCUGGCUGCCUGUGUGACCUGGGCCAGUGAGCAGACCCUUCUGAGCCGCAAAUGCCAAACAGGGGUAAGGAGAGCACCUAGCCCUACCUGGGCGCUGAUGACACAGCACUGCGGAGCCCCGGCAGCCCAGCCUCAGGGGAUGCUGCUCGGACCUCUGUCACUACAGGACAGUGUCACUAGCCGUCUUGAACUAGCCUGGAUCUGCCUCCACUCCAGGCUGGGAGACGCACUGACCUUGGGGUUCCAGGGCCUUCUCCAGGGCUCAGACCGUGGACUCUGCGUGUAGGUAUCCACUCCACUGACCCACACAGGACAUUUUUGUUUUACACCAUGAAAUAUGUCAAACAUAAAGAAAAGUACUGAACACAAUAUGUUUGUCCAAGGUAGCAAAUUUAACAUUUUACUGAAUUUGCUUCUUUCUUUUAUUUCAAAAUGCUGGUGUCCAGACCUUUCCUUCACCAAGGGCUCCAGCCUCCUGGCUGCCCACUGGUCGGAGUUUGUUGGUUCUGCCAUCAGGCUCCCCUCUCUUCCCACUUGUGAUCUUUUGGUUAUGUAAGUAUGUGUCUAGAAAUAACAACACAACAAUGAUAUAGAGCUUUGCUUUGCAUGUGUCUUUAUUUUUUAUAAAUAAUGUCAACUGUGCAUGUGCUUUUGAAAUUUGUUGGUUUCAUUCCACAUUACGUUGCUGGGUACACUUGAUGACUGUACAGCUCAUUCAUGGUGGCGUUUCACUUAUCACCAGGGAGUUUUUCCAUUCCUCGGUUAUUGGAUACUAGGUCGUCUCCGAUUUUUGUUACCAUGAGUUUCCAAUUUCUGCUGUUCAUGUUUUCAUGAACAUUCUCCUACAUAGAAGUGUCUCUGAGCACUAAAUUAGAAGUGCUAGGGCCAGGAAUCUCCACUUCUCCUAGAGAUGGCCAGGCUGUCCAGAUGGUGCCACCAACUCGUGCUCCCACCAACUAUGCAUUCAAGUUCUUCUUUGGCCAUAUUCUCACUCUGUUUGGUGUCGGGGACUUAUUAGUUUUUACUAAGCUGACUAUGAAGAAGUGUCAGUUGUUUUAAUUUGCAUUUCACUAAUUUAAGUAAAGUUUAGAGUCUUUUGUUUGGAUAUUGGCUAGCUUAUGUUCCUUGCUUAUUGUUAAUUGUCUUUCUUAUUAAUUUGUAAGUUGUAUAUAGGUGGAUAAUGAUUCUUUAUUGUUUUUGUGCAAAUAUUUUUUCAAACUUGAGACUUGUCUUUUAAAUUUGUACUGAUUUUUGUCCUACACACAUUUGUGUGUGUGGCACUAGCGAUGGAACCCAGGAGUUUGUGUCUGCUGGGCAAGCACUCUACUACCGAGCUG